CCACAGACAGGUGCAUGACCUUGAAAGAACAAGAGCAACACACUGAAUUGGUCUUGCAGGUGGCACCGUCGGAUCUGCAAGCUUUUGUCACCUUAAAAUCUAUGAGAUCCUGUCACCUGAAUCUGUUUCCCUGGCUCUGACCCAAUGUUUUCCCUCUGACCACCGCACUUUGUUCAUUUGGGUUACAAACCUGAGAGCCCAAGUGACGUUAUCCUGCUGUCACCUAACCACCGCACUGAGGAGCCGAAAUUCGCCGUCCAUACUCUCCCACGGAUUCUGAAAAGCUGAAAUUUCCAGUCCUCAGAACCUCCUGCUACAACUGUCCGAGCUACCGCACCCUGUUGGGGGACAAACUCCUCGGAUCUCCCCAGAAGAGUCACCUCUACUUACAAUCACUUUCUCUUAAAAGGAAUGACUCAAACUGUUCUGUACUCUCACACUUUUAUUCUAAAUAAGACAGAGUAA